AGCAAGAUAGCCGAGCGGUCUAAGGCGCCACAUUGAGGAAUACAUCCCUUAAUUCACGAGCGAGGGAUCCCCCCCGCUCAUAUGAUUCCGUGGUUCGAAAGGGCGUGGGUUCGAAUCCCACUCUUGUCA